CAAAUAUAAGCAAAGGUGGUUGCCAGGCCAGAGUUGCCUGUGAAUGGUUACCUUGAGAGAAGAGACUGUGAAGGUCGAUACCAGCCUUGUUCUGCUGUGCCAGGAGGGCUAUGGCCCGUGUUCCUUCUGCACUGCUCUGGAGAAAAUGCCCUGCAAUCCAUGUGCCAGAUCCCUUUGAGAGGGAGAUGCACUUGCCAUGUGCUGGAGGAGCUGGAUGAAGAGGAAAAGAUCUGGAAAACAGCCAGAAGACAAAGAAGUUUGGGAGGAGACAGAUAUCCAGCCUUUUCUUACUUGGAACUAUGGAUCCGAAGACAGGCAUGAUAGCAGAUAAGGUGUGCUGACAGACAGGAUGGCCCCAUGGCAACUUGCCCAUCAGGUGAGUAAAACCUGCUAUUGAUGAGCCUUAUGAAAGGAUGACUGUUGCUCUAAUGAUACAUGUAGAUAAAUAUAGCUCUGUGUU
rnacentral:lncRNA from 14 species